CCUACGUGAGGCAGCAGUGAGGAAUAUUGGUCAAUGGACGAGAGUCUGAACCAGCCAAGAAGCGUGAAGGAUGAAUGCCCUAAGGGUUGUAAACUUCUUUUAUAUGGGAAUAAAAUGUUCCACGUGUGGGAUUUUGUAUGUACCAGAUGAAAAAGGAUCGGCUAACUCCGUGCCAGCAGCCGCGGUGAUACGGAGGAUCCGAGCGUUAUCCGGGUUUAUUGGGUUUAAAGGGGGCGUAGGUGGAUUGUUAAGUCAGUUGUGAAAGUUUGCGGCUCAACCCUAAAAUUGCAGUUGAAACUGGCAGUCUUGAGUACAGUAGAGGUGGGCGGAAUUCGUGGUGUAGCGGUGAAAUGCUUAGAUAUCACGAAGAACUCCGAUUGCGAAGGCAGCUCACUGGACUGGAACUGACACUGAGGCUCGAAAGUGUGGGUAUCAAACAGGAUUAGAUACCCUGGUAGUC
rnacentral:rRNA from 1 species